UACGUAGGUGGCAAGCGUUGUCCGGAAUUAUUGGGCGUAAAGCGCGCGCAGGUGGCUAUGUAAGUCUGAUGUUAAAGCCCGAGGCUCAACCUCGGUUCGCAUUGGAAACUGUGUAGCUUGAGUGCAGGAGAGGAAAGUGGUAUUCCACGUGUAGCGGUGAAAUGCGUAGAGAUGUGGAGGAACACCAGUGGCGAAGGCGGCUCACUGGCCCGAUACUGACGCUGAGGCACGAAAGCGUGGGGAGCAAACAGG
rnacentral:rRNA from 1 species